AACGAACGCUGGCGGCAUGCCUAACACAUGCAAGUCGAACGAGACCUUCGGGUCUAGUGGCGCACGGGUGCGUAACGCGUGGGAACCUGCCUUUAGGUUCGGAAUAACUCAGAGGAAUUUGAGCUAAUACCGGAUGAUGUCUUCGGACCAAAGAUUUAUCGCCUUUAGAUGGGCCCGCGUUGGAUUAGCUAGUUGGUGGGGUAAAGGCCUACCAAGGCGACGAUCCAUAGCUGGUCUGAGAGGAUGAUCAGCCACACUGGGACUGAGACACGGCCCAGACUCCUACGGGAGGCAGCAGUGGGGAAUAUUGGACAAUGGGCGAAAGCCUGAUCCAGCAAUGCCGCGUGAGUGAUGAAGGCCUUAGGGUUGUAAAGCUCUUUUACCCGAGAUGAUAAUGACAGUAUCGGGAGAAUAAGCUCCGGCUAACUCCGUG
rnacentral:rRNA from 1 species